AUGCAGACUUUGAUGGGGAUCAAAUGGCUGUUCAUUCAUGUGCCUUUAUCUUUGGAGGCUCAAGCAGAAGCUCGUUUACUUAUGUUUUCUCAUACGAAUCUCUUGUCUCUGGCUAUUGGGGAUCCCAUUUGUGUACCAACUCAAGAUAUGCUUAUUGGACUUUACGUAUUAACUAGCGGAAAUCGUCGAGAAGCUAUACAAGGUUUUUCUCGAGCCGAUUCAUAUGGUAUCUAA